rnacentral:rRNA from 1 species
UACGUAGGGUGCAAGCGUUGUCCGGAAUUAUUGGGCGUAAAGAGCUCGUAGGCGGUUUGUCGCGUCUGCUGUGAAAUCUGGGGGCUCAACCCCCAGCCUGCAGUGGGUACGGGCAGACUAGAGUGCGGUAGGGGAGAUUGGAAUUCCUGGUGUAGCGGUGGAAUGCGCAGAUAUCAGGAGGAACACCGGUGGCGAAGGCGGGUCUCGUGGGCCGAUGACUGACGCUGAGGAGCGAAAGCGUGGGGGAGCGAACAGG